rnacentral:rRNA from 1 species
AUUGAACGCUGGCGGCAGGCCUAACACAUGCAAGUCGAACGAGGGGCGGAGGGGUGGGUGAGGUCUGGGAAACUGCCUGAUGGAGGGGGAUAACUACUGGAAAAGGGAGAUAAUAACGCAUACAAUAGGAGGGGCCAAGGUGGGAUUAGCUAGUAGGUGGGGUAAAGUCUAACCUAGGCGAAGAUCCCUAGCUGGUCUGAGAGGAUGACCAGCAACACUGGAACUGAGACACGUUCCAGACUCCUACGGGAGGCAGCAGUGGGGAAUAUUGCACAAUGGGCGCAAGCCUGAUGCAGCCAUGCCGCGUGUAUGAAGAAGGCCUUCGGGUUGUAAAGUACUUUCAGCGGGGAGGCGUUACCCGCAGAAGAAGCACCGGCUAACUCCGUGCCAGCAGCCGCGGUAAUUC